GGGUGUUUCAGUUCUCUAAACUUGCUUUUAGAUUUGGAGGUCUCAGGAAGUUACUUGGUUUUAAGGAGUAAAUAGUAUUUCAUUUUGUCAAAUCGACUCCUGCUGUGGUGGCCUUGGGCAUGCUGAGUGGCAGGAGACCGGGAGCUGGCACAUGAAGGCCGUUCCACCUGUCAGUGUGCGCCUGCUGUCUCUGGGUUGGCCAACGGUCCAGAUGUGCUGGAGACAGACGGCCUCCAGGAAGUGCCUCUCUGCAGCUGCCGGAUGGAAACACCGAAGAGUCGAGAGAUC
rnacentral:lncRNA from 1 species